rnacentral:rRNA from 1 species
AUCGCUGAUAGAUGGGCAUGCGUUCCAUUAGGUAGUUGGUGAGGUAACGGCUCACCAAGCCGACGAUGGAUAGGGGAACUGAGAGGUUGGUCCCCCACACUGGUACUGAGACACGGACCAGACUCCUACGGGAGGCAGCAGUGAGGAAUAUUGGCCAAUGGGCGAGAGCCUGAACCAGCCAAGUCGCGUGAAGGAAGAAGGAUCUAUGGUUCGUAAACUUCUUUUGCAGGGGAAUAAAGUGAAGGACGUGUCCUGUUUUGUAUGUACCCUGAGAAUAAGGAUCGGCUAACUCCGUGCCAGCAGCCGCGGUAAUACGGAGGAUCCGAGCGUUAUCCGGAUUUAUUGGGUUUAAAGGGUGCGUAGGUGGUUUGAUAAGUCAGCGGUGAAAGUUUGCAGCUUAACUGUAAAAAUGCCGUUGAAACUGUCGGACUUGAGUGUAAAUGAGGUAGGCGGAAUGCGUGGUGUAGCGGUGAAAUGCUUAGAUAUCACGCAGAACUCCGAUUGCGAAGGCAGCUUACCAAGCUACAACCGACACUGAAGCACGAAAGCGUGGGGAUCAAACAGGAUUAGAU